UUGAGUUUCGUUUAAUGUUUUAGCAGCCUGGAUAAUAAAGUUAUUAACAAUAUUCGCAUAUUUUGGUAGCGUAUUCUAAAUAUUUGCAACGAAAUUUAUUGUGUAAUGCUUCUACAACCGUCAAGAGCUGAGGAAAAUAUUUAAAAUGCGCUGCCCUGUUGCUAAGGUGUAUAUAUAGCACAUGGAUAGGUAUCAAUAUCCUGUGUAUGUCUGAGUAAAGCAGUUAUAUAUACCAAUUUGAAGGGUACAACAACCGUUACAUAAUACAAUGGACAUAUGAUGAUGGAUUAAGGGAAGCGUUAAUAGUUAUUGCGCAAUUACUGCUGGGAAGACAUUGUGGUGUUGUCCGGAUGGGUACCACCAGCCUGUUUAAUUCUGUAACAAAUUUAAUGCAUUCUGGUUUGAAGACUGGUACACACAGGUCGAUUUAGCUUGCAAUCUUGUCUCAAGGUGGAUCGAAGAAUUCACGUAGAUUUUAGAGCUCCUUCGGUAGUAGGUAAAUAAUAAUAAAACUGUGCUGUAAAAAUCAUCCACCCAUCUAAAAAAUUAAAGCUUAUUUCAAAUAAGUCUUGCAUUUAUACAAUUCUAAACAACAACAUUUCAUCUGACAUUCGGAGAUCUUCAGUUAAAAAGAAACUAAACUCUUUGCCUUUGUCGUUCUGAAAAAAUAUAUGAUACGAAAGAUUUUAUUUUAUUUGUUCCAAAAUCUAAAUUCAAGUGUAAAAAUUGGUUAAAGUUUCACAAAUAAUUUACUAGCCGGUAUUUGUAAGUACCGCUGAUUACAAUGAAGUAUGUAGUCUAAAUGACAGUUAUGUAACAAAAAAACAUUUUCGAAAUACAUUAAAAUUUUGAAUCUUCACGCCAAAUUAAGUAUGAUGGCUUUGCGCUUUUCUUUUAUCGAUGCUACCAUAUUCUCUGGUAUUAAAUGCCUCUAAAA